ensembl:lncRNA
UUUUCUCCAAACUGUUACUGGAAGGGAUCUGAAAACACUUUAGAAAGGUAGUCACACAUGAUGUGUUGAAGCAAGAAACAUUCCUACACUGCUGUCAAGAAAGGAAGGAUUAUGCCAUGACUGCAAUAGGUCUGAAGAUGCAAACUUCUAAUCACAGAGAGUUUGCUCAUUUCCUGUGAUGGAGAAAACCAGUAUAAAGGAUACACCAACCUCUGAACCUGGUGUUGGCUGAAAGAUGGGAGGAAUAUCUGGCUGUCACAGUUGACUAAUCUGAACAUCAGGAUGAAUGGGAGCUGGUGUAAGCUGGCCUUUCCAAUUAGUCCAAGAUAGAGGUACAAGAAAUGACCAUCAUCAUAGAAAGAAUGUCUAAUUGAAUGAUCUCCCAGAUGUUUCUCAUCAUGCAGAAUCAUUACAUAGGCGUGGGAUGCUCAGAUCUUGGAUGCACUGACCAGCCCCGCCAUUGGAUUUGGUUCCUUAUAAGCACCAGGCUGAACAUGAUCAAAUUCUCUUCAGCUCCCAGAGGCCUCUCUUGCUGUUUGCUCUACUUUCCUGCCAGGGUCCACAGCCUGCUGCACAUUCUCAGACGUGCUGGUGAGUCACCCGACAUGGGAGGAUGAGAGGAUGGAGCCUGCCCACUGGCCCUUACAGCUGAAAGCCGACACUGGUUGCUAUUUAGAUGAACAGCAGAAGUGUCAGUGUAUUUGCAACAUUUUUAAGGAUGGUUCAGGAAGCUACAAGUCAAAAAAAUAUUCUCCUUCCCCAGUCUAAUGCUGGCUUUGCAGUGUUUACAAACAGCUGUUGCAACAGCCCCAAGCUCUGAAGAAAUAUGUGACACAUCUGAGAAUCUGACAGUCAAACCCAGCAUUUGUUCCCCUGCAUCCCUUCUAAGGCCUGGUGUAACAGGAGACGUGGUCCGUGUGGUAUUUGUCACAGUGGCAGCUGCUUGCACGGCAGUGGCAGUCACUAUGUGAUCGCUGGCUCUGCGCCUUGCUGCAGCCAGGAGAAAGUGAGCCUGCAGGCAGGGGGGCAAGGAGACCAUCACCAAUGCAAUGAUAAAAGUAAAGAGGUGCAUGCAAGGAUUCUGCAACUGAAGUGUAAUAGGCAAUGGCAUAAAGCUGGAAAAGGGGGGUGCAGCAGUCCCAGAUCUUGCAACGUCUUUAGGAAAAUGGCAUCAGGGCUGCUCCUGCUUUCUUGCUCACACUGACAUCCUGUGAAGGGCAGCGAUGUUGGCAUGGCAGCCAGAAUAGGCAGUGGAUGCCCAGACCUGGUGUCGCCUCCUUGGAGCUGCGUGGCAUCAGGAGCAGCAGCAGCCAUGUGAGCAGUGCCAUUUUGCUCCCAAAAACCACACUGUACCAGCAAAGCAAUGUGCACAUAAAACUGCAUGGCAGCUGUUUCACUAGGAAAAUGUGUCAGAACAACUAAUCUGAAUUCGGGUAAGGAAUGAGCCUGGAUGCACAGAACAUGUUAGGAGGAGAAUUGACUGUACACAAAAAAGGACCAGAUCAUUCUCAGGUGUUCCUACCAGCAGCCAAUGGAUCCAAGCUUGAGAGUCUUGUACGAUAAUCUAUUGCUCCUGAAGCACUCUGCAUUGAUCAGUGACAGUGUCCAGUACAGGUAGAGAAAAUUCUAUUUUAUUUUGUAUUUGGUCAUGGCUUUUAAGGUACUAUCUGUAUGUUACAUUCUCUAUAUAACAUCAAUAGCUUGUGUUUGCACUACUAGUGAAAUUCUAUAGCUUUUAAAGCACAUGAAAAAAAAUUCCUGUCAUUUUUUACAUAUAUAAGGUUUAGAGCAAAUAGAUGUCAGUACUCAGGGAUAUUUUCACUUUUAUCCCAUUAAACUUUACAAGUUUUACUGUGUUUCUGAAUUCUUCAGAGAAGCUUCAAAAUUCACAAGUUCAUACAUUUCAUAGAGCAUCUGUUGUGAAAAAAUAAAGAGAUUGUGGUUUCCAAUUU